UUAGUAAUGUUUCCCCCAAAGUUAUCUACUCCCUAAUCUCUGGAACCUGUGUUACUUUAUCUAGCAAAUGACAUUUAGAUGUGAUUAAGGAUCAUGAGUGAGGGGAUUACCUGGAUUAUCUAGGUUGGCCCAAGGUAAUCACAAGAGUCUAUGAGAAGAAUGCAGAGGGAGAUCUGACUACAAGAGAGGAGAAAGCAAUGUGACCAGAAGAGCAGAGACUGGGAUGAUGCAGCCAGGAGUCCAGGAAUACCAGUAGCCUCUCAGAGUAGAAGAGGCAAGGGACAGACUCAACCCUGGAGACCCCAGACAACUGGCACUUGACACAGAGCAAGCCAAAAUUCAAAGGCCCAGAAUUAUAGCAACCGGGCAUAGAUGGGUCUGUCAGGGAGGCACAGUGGAUUCCUCCCAAGACAUCCUCAGUCAAGGUCCCUUUGGGCAUAACCAGGACUUUCCAGAACCCCAAGCACAUCAGCUCUCCACAAGCCAUCACUCUGCUACUCAGAGCUCCCAAAGCCAAUACUUUAUAUGUGCAAUGACUAAUGAUAAUCUAUGAUGACCUGAGACUCCCCCAAAUUGUCUACUCUGGAAUUAUCAAAGAAGAAUCCAACUACUGUCAUUCCUGUAGAAAGAUGUAUUGUGUCCCAUCCUUUGCACUGUCCACCCACUGGUAAUGAGCAAGUUCACCUUCUACUUAUUCCUUGGAGGCUAGCUUCCUGGGUGUGCAACUCGUAAUCAGCACUGUCUACCACCUUCACGCUGUGCGGUGAAAAAGGACACGAAGAACAAAAAAACAUGUAAGCCCCAGCUGUUUUCUUAGCAUACCUUAGAGACUUAUGUGCACCAGGCAUGAAAUAACUGCAUUCUGAAUGUGGCCCCAUAACUAGUCAAUUUCUUGUAUUGUUACAGCUCUACUGUAUGUUAUUUUCAUUAGGAGCCCCCAUGUCUGAAUUUUUAAAAAUGCAACUUGCUUUAAUCAUACCAUUAAAACACAUGAUGUUUAAACAU